UUGUUUAUAUCUUAAAUAUUUUGCUCACAGAUCACUAUUAACAUUCUGUAUAUAAUUCUGUUUUAUUUUCUUUCCCCUUGUAUUAAUUUUUUAGCUGAAAAAACGUAAAGUAAGCAGUCACCCCAGUGGUGUUUGUGGAGAGGUAUUCCUUCAGAAAUGGAGAAGACAGAAAGCUGCAGAGGCAGGAUUGUUUGCAGAUAAUGCUGUUCUUCUUUUUCAGAAGUUUUUGGGGAGCCAACCCUCACAAACCUUCCUAAAAACUAAAAGAGCUAUUACUGAGUCUCAGCGACUCUUGCCACGAUCAGCUCUUCCCAGAAGAGAAGGAAGACCAAGGAAAUGAUUUGCUCAGGAUGAGGAAUGAAGAUGGUCAUCUUGUGCUCAAGCAAACAGAAGUCCUCUGUUUUGU